rnacentral:rRNA from 1 species
AUUGAACGCUGGCGGCAGGCCUAACACAUGCAAGUCGAGCGGCGCGGCGGUCGGGUGAGUAAUGCCUAGGAAUCUGCCUGGUAGUGGGGGAUAACGUCCGGAAACGGGCGCUAAUACCGCAUACUAUCAGAUGAGCCUCGGUCGGAUUAGCUAGUUGGUGGGGUAAUGGCCUACCAAGGCGACGAUCCGUCACUGGUCUGAGAGGAUGAUCAGUCAAACGGGAACGAGGACACGGCCCAGACUCCUCCGGGGGGCAGCAGGGGGGAAUAUUGGACAAUGGGCGAAAGCCUGAUCCAGCCAUGCCGCGUGUGUGAAGAAGGUCUUCGGAUGGUAAAGCACUUUGAGUUGGAAGGCGUUACCAACAGAAUAAGCACCGGCUAACUUCGUGCCAGCAGCCGCGGUAAUAC